UCCUUUAAAUCUAGUAGUUCGGUAUCCCGCACAAGAUGGCCUAGUGAUCUACAAUCUGAAGCUAGUGGUCUUGUUCGUAGCCGCCCUUCAAAGGUUCUCUUAUCCACUAGCAGGCAUCGAUGUCUGCCUGUAGCUGGUGGUGCUCCAUUCUUUGCAUGCCAAAAUUGUCUCGAAUUAUUACUACUGCCCGAUAAAGUGCAAGUUGACAAAAACCUAAUGAAAAUAAGAUGUGGAGCAUGCUCAACAUUGAUUUUAUUGACAGUUGAUUCUAAGAGACUUAGUGUUUCUGUUCAUGCAGAACUAAAUCCAACUCAUAAAAAGUUCAAUGUACGCCACAGUGACAAUUUGAAGGAAGGGAGUUCACAAACCCGUGGUCAUCCAAAGCAGGCUAGCAUUAACUUUUCUUCUGAUGAUUAUGACAAUAGUGGUUGCAAUUUUCAGUCAAUGGAUAGGGAAUUUGGACCACUGUCAACUGGCCCUGGAAGCUCAAUUAAGUCUGCUGACAUCAGGAGUCCUCAUUCUACGUUUUCCUCUUCGUCUGAGAAAGAGGAGAACCUGGAGAACUUGACUGCCAUAAGGAAAAGUUUAAAUUCUUCUGAAUUGCCAGUGAAGGGCAAAUUAUCUCCACCUCCUGCAGGUUCACCACUUCAAGAUUACUUUGAUUAUUCUAAUAAGUACAACGCAGCUAACAGGCUUGGAAAUGCAACUAGAAGUGGGCACUUUGAAGAGGAGAAGUCAAUAUCAAAGAAGACUAUCACGAGGCAGAAUUCCAUGAAGGAUGCAUCAGCAACUGAGAUAGAAAUAUCCUCCAAUGAGUACUCCAAUACUGGGACAUCUUUGGAUUCAGGUGAAGCAAGCAGAGAAGGAGAUCAAAUGAGAGCCAAUAAGGCAGCUGAAUCCUUUUUUGCUGGCAUGAUAAAAAAGAGCUUUAGGGACUCGAAUAUAUCAUACGAUGAUGCUGAUACUGAAAAGGCGAAUGUUACGGUCAAUGGGUAUCUUAUCUCAGAGAGGCUAAUUAAAAAGGCUGAAAAACAAGCUGGGCCAAUCCAGCCUGGAUACUACUGGUAUGUCUCUUCUAAUACUUUCUCUGAGAUAUAUUGCGUUUCUCCUUUAUCAUGCAUGAUUGAUCUAAUCUUCUACACGGCUCUGCUUCCUCUUUUAACUGUAUGUAAUUUUUUACCAAAGAAAAUAGGGGAGGCUUGGUAAGACUGCAACGUUGGUUGUAGUAUUCCAAACCUGCACAACACAUGCUUUCUUUCUAUGAACCACCAAUCCAUCUCUUGGAGUAAUAGCUUCUCCAUUGCUGUCUAUACCGUUGGAUGUUACUUUUGAUGACAAAAGAUGGAAAAUUAGCGAGUUGCAAAUUGAGUCAUGAUUUUGAGUGAAUUCUAUUCUUUUGAGAAAAAAUGAAAAAAGUUGCAAUUUUGACCUGUAAUCUAUGAACUUCAUCAAAUUGAAAAUACCUGUACUUCUUUUUGAGAAUUGUAAGUAUGCCAGGUCGUAUAGAGAGUGCUGCCCUGUUCACGGAUGCUUUUUUCUUAGCCAGUUCAGGUAGAAAUAUCUUGGAGAAAGAAGUAUAAGUUGUGAAGUAAGCAUUUAAUCUCGUUGCCAUUGACCUUAAGUAUUAUACAAGGACAAGCAAAACCUUAGGCUAACCCAGAUUGACUCGUAUGAUUUCGCACUUAUCUGUAUGACUUAGUUGUUGUAUUUUUUGAAUUCUAGCAGGAUUUGAUUGCUACAGGAAACAUGAUAUAAGAUCAGUUUUGUAGCACAAUCAAUUGUAGUCUCUGUCACAUUUCCAAAGAAUAGUGGAUUUUGUUUUUAUGUUUUCAUGCUAUGUUUAAUUUUCCUUGACCAGGUAUGAUUUCCGAGCUGGAUUCUGGGGUGUGAUAGGCGGCCCUUGUCUCGGCAUAAUUCCUGUAAAAUUUUCUAUUACCUACAGUCAUAUAACUUAAGUGUCUGCUAUAAAUUGUUUAUCCCGAUAUUUAAGAGAGACACUUCAUUUUCUUGCAGCCGUUUAUUGAAGAAUUCAACCACCCCAUGCCAGAGACUUGCACUGGUGGAAGCACAGGUGUUUUUGUUAAUGGGAGAGAACUUCACCAGAAAGAUUUGAAUUUGCUAGGGAGUAGAGGGCUUCCAACUGACAGAGGUAGAUCUUUUAUCGUUGAGAUUUCUGGCAGAGUCCUUGAUGAGGAUACUGGUGAAGAGCUAAAAAGCCUCGGCAAACUUGCUCCAACGUAAGCUCAACUGUCUUACUAAAAUUUUCCUCAGUUUUUCUGACUUCUUUUUACCUUAUAUAUCUUCACCAAGAGCUCACAUCAAUGGGAAGGUUUGGCACCUCUAUGUCAGUUCUUCGCCUCCUUCAACUAUAGUAUAUAACUUGUUAUCCACUGGUUUCUUGACCUGCUUUGAUUGUGUUUACAAUUAUCAAAUUUAUUUGGUCAUCGGACAGAUUUUUCAUCCCCACUAGGAAUACUUCCAUCUACUAAGUUCAGACCGUCAAAUACCAAGCUCUGCCCAACCAUCAUUGCCAAAUGAAAAGAUCUUCUCCCUUUCUGGUUCUAGUUCGGCUGCUCAAGAAGCUAAUGCUUCCAAGAUUUAGCAGUAUUAUAUGCGCUCACGACCCAAGAUUUAGCCAUUUUGCCUUGAUAUUUGGACUAAAGGCUUUCGUUAAAUCUGUGCCAUUUCCUAACAAGAAAUUCUUGAAAAGUUUGUGGAUUUUUGGUCCUAGAGUUUGUUCAUUAAUUUUCUAACCAGUGAAAGUUUAUGUCAGAAUCGAGAGGUUAAAACGUGGAUUUGGCAUGAAAGAUCCAAAAGCAGUGGUGUAACCAACGGUCUUCCAAAGACUACAGGAUCACAUAUUCCUUCAAGUUGGGUAGACAACUGUUGUCGGAAGUUAGGGGAAGGAUUUCUACAGAGUGUUACCACAGUUAACUCUGGAAUUUGCUUGCUUUCUACCCUAUAGUGGAGCCGGAGGUUGAAGGAAUUGCUUUUCCUACCGUGAUUGUGUUUUCAAAUGCUAUUGUUUGGUUUUGAAAAUGGUUUUUCCUAUUGUUUUGCAUUUGGAUAUAGAAACCCCUUUUCCCCUUUUAUUGAUGGAUCGGCCUCGCAGAGAUACCGCCGAAAGGCACUUAAGUUCUCCCUUCACUUUGUAUGUUACUGGAAUUUUUAUACCAAGUUAAAACGCAUCGUGCGGAAAUGAUUAAUGGCUCCAGAGUCCAGAUAACCACUGUAUGUGUAUGUAUAGUAAGAGAUUUGUGUGUAUUGUUUUUGCCACUUAAAUUCGCUCAACUUUAUGCUUCCCUUGCAUGCAUAUUUGCUAACCCCCAACAAAACUAAUUUUCACUAUGAGCUGCUUUUUUUGUUGAAGUAAGUAACAGGUCUCUAAGUUCUGCCUACAGUUCUGAAGACACGAUCUCUUAUUUACAAUUCCUCCUAUCUUAUCAUCAAAUCCAACCCUCUCGAGAGUUUGCUAUCCUCUUUCAGCAAUAAGAUAAAAAUCUUGAUAUAGAGCAGCUCUGUGACAAAAUUAUCAAGAAAAGAAACUCUGCCACACAUCCGAAGCAAGAAAUGGAGGAGUAGAUACAAAGUCAAAAAAAAAAAAAGUUGAUAAAAAAGGUUUGGUAUACAAAACAAUUAUUCACGUACUACAAUCAUUAACCACGGGACUGUAAACCAAUUUCUCCUCCAAGAAGGGACUUCAAUCCAUCUCGAAAUUUGUCUAGCUAGUGUUCUAAUGCACUAGUUUGGAUUGGAGGUGGUUUCUUCCCCUAUGGUCCCUUUGAGCUAGACAUUAUCGUUGUAAUUAAGAAAAAUGUACUACCACCAUUGUCUCUCUUUGAUAGAAAGUUUUAAAAAAAAAAAUGUUUAGAGUAUGGGCAUAUGGGGCCGUCAGAUGAACUAGCAGCUGAUAAUUUGGUUGAUGAGAAGCAGUAGCGAGCGCUCACUUGCACUUUGGCUCUCGGGGAAAUAAUUCGUCGGUUUCAUUAUUGUUUGUGGUCGUCAAUCAUCAUCGUGAUAAUCUCAUGCUACGGUGGUUCAAAUGUCUGAAUCUACUUGUUACGUCUACUAUCUUAUACCACCUGUUGAAUCCAACUACCUACGAUCUUACAUAAGAAACAUGGAAGUUUACUGUUGCAUGGACUUCUACCGUUUUUAUGUAUUGUCUAAGUUAUGACCGUAUAAUCAAAUUUUACAAAUUAACGAAAAAUUUUUAGUUCUAGGAUAUUGAUUAAUUAUGUUUGAUUAGUAGCCAACUCAACUCCUACAUUUAAAUGACUUUUAUGUGAUUGAUUAAAAUCUCUUUUCCUGUUCCUUUGUAAAUUAUUUUUCGGAGUCGCAUAGAAAAAUCAGUUUUCUUCUUUCCCAAUUAUACGCAACCGUGCACUUGCUUCAUUGUCUUCCUUCAUUAACCUCAAGAUUAGUGGUAGAUUUGAUAGAUUCUUUUUUACCUAUUUCCCAUAAUCAUAAUUUGGCUCUUCACUUUCGCUUAAGAGAAACGGCAAACUCAUUUAACUACUUUUGGUUUAAUUACAACUAAAGCGAGGACAUGGAAAUUUAUUGUAGUACCCCUACUUUCCGAUACGUGACGUAGCUCUCCUUUGAGGAAACUGUGAUUUGUUUCCCAUUUUUUAUUUCCCACUCCUAUCUUGAUAGGUGAAGACAAAAGAUCUAUUAUAUGGUAUAAGGCAGAAGAUUUCCACCGCAGGUCAUUUUGAUUAACCGCAUGGACUUCUACUGCUUUUAUGUGCUGUCUAAUUUAUGACCAUAAGAUCAAGUUUUAUAAAUUAAUGAAAAACUUUUAGCCCUUCGAUAUUGAUUAAUUACAUUUGAUUAGUAGCUAAUCCAACUCUUACAUUCAAACAGGUCCUUGAUGUGAUCGAUUAAAAGUCUCUUCUCUUGUUCAUCUAUAAAUUGUUUCUGAAAGUUGCACGGGAAAAUCAACUUUCUUCCUUUUUAAUUGCACUCAACCGUACACUUGUUUCAUUGCUUGCCUUCACUGUCCUCAAGAUUAGCGUUGGAUUUCAUAGAUCCUUUUUUUUAUUUUUUUAUUUUUACCUAUUUCUCAUAACCAUAAUCUGGUUUUUUAUUUUUGCUUGAGAGAAACUGCAGAUUCAUUUGACUACUUUUGGUUUAAUUUCAAUUAAUGCUAUGUUACUAUUAAAUUGGUAAUGCAUUCAUAGUGUAUCUGCUUUCUCUCCUUUUUUGAUAUUAUCAUGUCACGCAAUUCUGAUUCAAAAUUUUUAUCUAAAUCACAAUAAUUAGGGGGCUAACUUCUUUCCUUAUAAAAUUGGCAGGAGGGGGAGAGGUGAGUCGACUAACUUCAUGGAUGGAAUUUUUUUAGUAGCAAAUUUUAAUUUUCCUCAUAUAAUUUUGUUUAUUAUGUACUAAAAAGAUAUGUUGCUAUAUAUUCAACUAAGCUGUUAGGGGCCAGGCUGUGCAAGGCACAGUUGAGGUGCCUCUGGUCAACUAAAUGAAUUUCCCAAAAACAGCUUGAUGGAUAUUUCUACCAUCAACCGUUCUACAUAGGUAUAGUAAAAGCAUUGAAACAACUCAUAGCAAAAGAAAGGGAAAAAAUACCAAAAUUUGGAAUAUUCCAGCUGUUAAAGGGGUAAAGAGAGUAGAUGUUAAAGUAGUUAAAUUGUGCAAAAAAAAAAAAAAAAAAAAAAAAGAAUAAAAAGGAAAGUAGCAAUCUGAAAUGCCCAUUUCCUUCCCCUGCGGUGGCAUCAAAUGUUGGACCCAUUUAAAGUCAGGCUAAAGAAAUGGGCUGAGAAGCGGUGGUUCUCUCGAAUUCUUGGAUAGGAACCGACGAAAAAUUGUUGCAGCAGUCCCCACCGCUGCAAUGUGUUACGUCUUUCGUCUGUGUCUCGCAUCGAGAAUGGUAUAAAUCUCGGCCUCAUCUUCCUAACAAGUGCACUGAAAAUAAUAAUAAAAAUAAUUAAAAAAUAUAUCAAUAAUACAAGUAAAUAAAAUUUAAUAAAUAAUUUUCCCACCUAGCAGACUUGAUCCUCUCUAACCACUCUUCGGAUUUAUUUUUAUAUUUGCAAGGGAGGUAAGACGUGUAUGUCGUAAAGGAGUAUAUGACAUGCAUUGCAUUCUUUGCAUAUUUUAGUCCAAUCCAUUCCCUAAUCCCUUGUUUUUUUUUUUUUUUUCAUAGAUCUAGCUCCUGUCUUUAUGAUUUGAUCAUCUCCACAUUCUUUUUUUUUCUUUUAUUUUUCACCCCUCUUUUAAGAACAUACCGGAUUGCUGUUCCUUCUGCCUCAACAGAAGAGCACUAUUCAUGUUAUGUUCUGUUCCAUGGAACGCAAAGUUGGAGCAAUAGCCGAUGCUGACAAGACAUAGUGGCGGAUAUGUAAAACGCAUUUUAUUGUUUUUCGUCUUUUGUUACAUUUCCUUUCAUAAAAGAAAUUUACACCAGAGUGUGCUGGAUUGACAGUAUUUAAUCCAUCAUUAGAUCCUGCACGCAAUCAAAUUGACUUGAUUACCAAAGCAAUCGAGCUCGAAUUCAGCUGAACCUGCGUUUAGUUUCCAACUAAUAAAUCAACUAGCAAUGAGGUCAAAAUUAGUAAUAUUGGUAAUAAAAAAAAAUUUUUGGUCUUGCUCCGAGCAAAAUAUAGAACGGGAAGGGUUUAAUAAGGAUUCGAAGGAAAAACCUCAAGAGCUUCGCAAAUGAGAGGAGAGUCUAUGAAUGGCAAGUUUAAGUGGUGAAUGUAAGCUGGUUCAAACCACUGAUUCUAUUAAAAAAAAAGGUCAGUAACUACUUAGGUUGUGUUUGGAUUGCAUUUUUCGUGAUUUUUCAUGGAAAAAUUACUGUAGCGAUUUGAUGUAUGUGAGGGAAAAAGGUAAUAGGGAAAUGUGAUCACGGAAAAUGACAUAAUUUUUCGACGGAAACCGACAAUCCAAACAAGACCUUUUAGUUUUUCUUUGAAUAAGAGGUCGAAAGUUAGAAUCCACCCGCACUAAAAAAAUUCAAAAGAGAUACCAAAAUACUCAUUUGGUUUAAUUAGAUUCUUAUAUUUAUUAGUCAAUAUUAUAGUUGUCGUAAAAAAAAAAUCAUAAAUUAAUUCAAUAGAUAACAACGAAUUAUUUUCUCAUAAAAAUGAAUGGUAUUUGAAUUUCGUGAUCCAUGUAAUGACUAAUAUUGGUGAGUAAUUUAUAAAUACUCCUGUAAGUAAGCGAUUUUUAAUUCCGGAAGCAUGUCUCAUUGGUAGCUAAAACCACUCAAAUUUUCUCUCUACGAACAAAAAAUAAAAGAAUAAAAAAUAUAAGCCAAGCCAAGCCAAGCUGCGUGAGAUGAGAACAGACAAACGAAGCAAAAGGCAAACCCACGUCAGUGUAAGUAACGGGCAACUGCCCCCAUUUACGUACAUUCAUUGCUACCGCUCCCACGCCCACUUCCUUCAAUUUCUCUCUCUCUUUAGCUUUCGUCUUUCUUUUGGCUUCAUUAGCAUAGGCUGUAUAGCAAACAACCCCCAUUAUUAUUUUAGUUGCGAAAAAACCUCACUUCUUUUUAAAAAAAAAAAAAAAAAAAAAUCUCCUAAACUGAAGAAGCUAAAUUUGUUAAUAAGUUUAAUUUGCACCAACUCAUCAUCUUCCGCUCCACCUCAUUUCAUUGCACAGACCUCACUGUCCUUUUCUCUUUUUCUUCUUUUCUUUGAAAGGGUCUUCUCUGAUCACCUAAUUAAAUUAAAGCCCAAAACUAUGAAACAAUUGAAUGGUAGCUACAACCUUAAUGUCAAGAAGAACCCAUUUUCCUCAAUUCUUGUUAAGUUUGUCAUUUGUUUUCUAUUACUUGGGCUUGCUUAUCGUCUGUAUUCCUCAAGUUACGUGCAGUUCUCCCCUGUUGAGGUUACUACUGAAACAACAACAACGAUUAAUGGUGACGAUGAUGUGGGCCCCCAGUCAUUGCCACCUCCGGUGAUCAGCGGGUUACCGCCGGUUUCCACCAUUGAUCCUCCUCCGGAGGCUGUUGAUGUCAACAAGAAUACAACCUCUCAGGCUGGUUAGUCCAUAAUUCUCCUUUAAUUUCUUUUAAACCCUUCAAUGCAUGACUGAAUAAUUUGUUGAACUAUUGUUAUUAUUCUAUGUUUUAAAGAAAUCAUGCAUGGAAUUUAUUCUCAUGCUUUUGGGGGUCUCUGCAUAGAAUUAUUGUGGGAUGCUGUGAAUUUGUGCAUUCUCAAAUUGGAUUCUUUAGCACUUCUGUGGAGAUUAUUCUCAUUUACUGGUGCAUUUUUAGGUAAAGAGGGUAUCUUUCCAUGUUCAUCUAACUUUAGGAGAAUGGUUUCAGAUUCCAGGAAUAAAGAUGAAAUUAUGCUUCCCUGUGAGUAGUGCUCGCGAGGAAAGCUUUUCCCCUGUUA
rnacentral:lncRNA from 1 species